rnacentral:lncRNA from 1 species
UUAUUUUUACUUUGUUGACGUAUUAUUUUUUUUUUAUUUUGUUUAUUUUCUUGCUUUUUGCAACCGCGUGAACGCGUUUUCUGCGCUACAGACUGCGUUUUUCCGACUCCUUUGUUUGAUAUCGUGUCGUAUCGCCGUAUUUAUGGAGUUAUUAGGAACGGCAAGCCUACGUUGUUGCGUCCUUUACCUGAAUAUCGUGACCGAAUCGAGUGUCGUCGAUUUGAAUCGUGUCUUGCGAACCAUCGUCGAACAAAAGGUCAUGGCUGGUCGCGGUUCAUCAGCGUUUGUUUUGAAACUGAUGGGUACCACAAGGCAUGAAAGAGGUGACUUGCAGCAGCAAGACACUGCAAGCCUUCGCAGCAACUGGCUAGCCAGUGCUGCUCUGUUCUGAACUGCACUGCGUGUCAUGCGGAGGGUUUGUGCAAGCUCUCUGGGCAGCGACGCUAGCCACGAUUGGCUUCAUGGAUGCACAGAAAUACUCAAGGCGCUUGACGUCUGUGGCUCAUCUGUAUUGUUUUUCCCGGUACCACGGCAUGGAAGGAGCUGGCCUCCCUCCCUUCCAUCAGCUGCGAUAUACUACAAGCACUGGGCUACAGCUGCAGCUAGCCCAUGGGUACCGGGGACCAUGACAUCAAUGAGCUGGCUUUCACCUUGUCCAAGGCAGCAGCGGAACACUAC